rnacentral:rRNA from 1 species
AACGAACGCUGGCGGCGCGCUUAACACAUGCAAGUCGAACGAGAAGGCGUAGCAAUACGCUUGUACAGUGGCGAACGGGUGAGUAAUACGUGGGCGACCUACCCUCGAGUGGGGAAGUAACCCGCCGAAAGGCGGGCUAAUGCCGCGUACGCUUCCAUCUUUAUGGAGGUGGAAGGAAAGCCGUGCCGUGGGCACGGCGCUCAAGGAUGGGCUCACGUCCUAUCAGCUUGUUGGUAGGGAACGGCCUACCAAGGCUCCGACGGGUAGCUGGUCUGAGAGGACGAUCAGCCACACUGGCACUGCGACACGGGCCAGACUCCUACGGGAGGCAGCAGUGAGGAAUAUUGCGCAAUGGGCGAAAGCCUGACGCAGCGACGCCGCGUGGGGGAGUGAAGGGU